rnacentral:rRNA from 1 species
CCUACGGGUGGCAGCAGUGGGGAAUAUUGGGCAAUGGGCGCAAGCCUGACCCAGCAACGCCGCGUGAAGGAAGAAGGCUUUCGGGUUGUAAACUUCUUUUCUCAGGGACGAAGCAAGUGACGGUACCUGAGGAAUAAGCCACGGCUAACUACGUGCCAGCAGCCGCGGUAAUACGUAGGUGGCAAGCGUUAUCCGGAUUUACUGGGUGUAAAGGGCGUGUAGGCGGGACUGCAAGUCAGAUGUGAAAACCACGGGCUCAACCUGUGGCCUGCAUUUGAAACUGUAGUUCUUGAGUACUGGAGAGGGAGACGGAAUUCCGAGGGGAGCGGUGGAAUGCGUAGAUAUUAGGAGGGAAACCAGGGGCGAAGGCGGUCUGGUGGACAGCAACUGACGGUGAGGCGCGAAAGCGGGGGGAGCAAACAGGAUUAGAUACCCGAGUAGUC